rnacentral:rRNA from 1 species
UACAGAGACUGCAAGCGUUAUUCGGAUUCACUGGGCGUAAAGGGCUCGUAGGCGGCCAACUAAGUCAGACGUGAAAUCCCUCGGCUUAACCGGGGAACUGCGUCUGAUACUGGAUGGCUUGAGAUUGGGAGAGGGAUGCGGAAUUCCAGGUGUAGCGGUGAAAUGCGUAGAUAUCUGGAGGAACACCGGUGGCGAAGGCGGCAUCCUGGACCAACACUGACGCUGAGGAGCGAAAGCCAGGGGAGCAAACGGG